AUAGUUUACAUAUCCUAUGCCGUUUGCUAUUUGCUUUUUUAUUUUUAAAUUUAAUCAUGGAUUUCAAAUUGCAUUAGCAAUGGUAAAGAGCAAUUUAUUAUGCAAUUCUGCCCGGUUUGGAUUAAGAAAUUCCUUAACUUAUUUCAUCUAAUUAUUACAACUUUUUCAAAUUUUCACACAAAAUAUAAUAAAUAAUUUAAUUUUUUUAUAUUUCAAAACAAUAAUAAUAUUAAAAAAUAAUAUUCUAAUAAUAUUUUAUUCAACUUUCAUUUCAUCUUAACUCACUAUUCAAACCUCCCAUUUCAAAUAUGUCCUCCCCAUUAGUACAUUGGUGAUAAGAUUUUUUUUAAGCAAUCCUAUUACAAAUUUAAAUGUCAGGUAAAAAUGUCUGCCUUUGUCUUAAUCUCUGUGCAUGCUACUCUGUGUGCGUGCUACUCUGUGUGCGCACUUGCACAGGAGGAGGGGAAGGCUGGGUUGGGAGAAAAGUAACGAAGCAUUCCAGUUACUUUUCUCCCUUGAAGAAUAAUGAUGCUCACCAUUUUAUAUAACACGCAUAGAGCAAACUAAAAUGAUUGCUCCUGUUAUGAUGAACUGAAUGAAAUGUAUCUGUGGGUUGGCCAAAUUAUCUACCAUUAUUAGUUGGGUUUGGGGCGAAAUUGGUGAAUGUAACCUGAAAUUCCAGAGCACACAGCUGAAUGAGUUUAGCACCAUCACAAAUCUUACUCUCACACAUCGGUCCUUGGGUCGGAGCAACAACAACUUGUUUUUCCCACAGACUGUUGGGCCGAGGCUAUUGGUAAACCUAACCCUGAUACCAGUGUACUUAGGUCUCUCUCAACUCUAAAAGCUAGCUCAAGAGGUAAGGUUUUCUUUCACACUUAUAAACUGACCAUCAGUCUCUUCCACAAUUGAUGUGGGAGAACUCCAACAGAAAUUAAGGGAGUUUAUCUCACUGUGAGAUCACUUUUAUAACGCAGUCUGAUUAUGUGAAGUGCUGAAGUCAGGUUUCAACGAGUCCAAAAUUAAGCACAAAAACCAAAGUCCAGGUCAUGUUGAAAAAUUAGAGAGUGACCCACACUGGGAGUCCAUUGAUGAUCAUAAUAUUUUUGUUCUGAGGUUGAAGAUUACCCCAUCUUGAAAUCAUAAUUCUCAAAUCAUCUCACUUUUCUGGGUAAACUAAUAUUUUUCCCCCUAAAAGGAUGAUAACUAUUUCAUGGUUGGAAGGGAGUUUUCUCCAACAGAAGAAGGAAAGCAUAUGUAAACCACAAUGAAAUGGAUGAGAUGUGGCUUUGCUGAAAAUUUACAAAUUAACAAGUGAUGAGUCAAGCCUGCUGCUAGGAACUCUACCCUGCAUUUGUAUUGAGAGCUAAAGGGUUUAUAAAAUCUGAGUCUCCCUGACAUGUAAGAAAUUAUGUGGAUGAUGAAAACGUUACUUUCCUACUGAACUAAUAUUUUAUGAUUUUAUGAAUGGCAGCCUUCUUGAUACGUUUGAUAAAUGUUGAAAGCUUUUUCUUGUUUGAAAGACACAAAAGAAAAUUAAACAGGAAAAAGGAAAAAAAAAAAUCUUCAACAGAGCAAGAAGGGCUAAGAGCGUGCAGUUUUGCAUGGUUGAUCAAGUUUGCAUAACAAGCGUUUGAGACGAAGCAAUUUUCCAUAAAGGACUCCACAAGCAAUGCAAAGGUCAUUUCUAAGAAGGAUUCCAUUGGUGGCUGAGCAGUUGAGGAAAUAGAGUUGUGUUAGAAUCAAAUUUAUUUAGGAGUAUUUGGGAAUAGGAUUAUCAUCAGGUUGCAAUUGGGUGUUUUAGGUUUUUUUUUUUUUGUAGGAUUCAUCUGUUGGUUAUUACUAUUUCUAUCAGGAGUUGCAUGUUUCUUUUUCUAUAAAAACAGAGUUUGCCUGAAAA